rnacentral:tRNA from 1 species
GGGGCUAUAGCUCAAGCUGGGAGAGCACCCAGCUCUGGUACGCAGGGGGUCAAGUGGUCUGAUCCCAUUUAGCUCCA